GAUGAACGCUGGCGGCGUGCCUAAUACAUGCAAGUCGAGCGAACAGACGAGGAGCUUGCUCCUCUGACGUUAGCGGCGGACGGGUGAGUAACACGUGGAUAACCUACCUAUAAGACUGGGGUAACUUCGGGAAACCGGAGCUAAUACCGGAUAAUAUAUUGAACCGCAUGGUUCAAUAGUGAAAGACGGUUUUGCUGUCACUUAUAGAUGGAUCCGCGCCGCAUUAGCUAGUUGGUAAGGUAACGGCUUACCAAGGCAACGAUGCGUAGCCGACCUGAGAGGGUGAUCGGCCACACUGGAACUGAGACACGGUCCAGACUCCUACGGGAGGCAGCAGUAGGGAAUCUUCCGCAAUGGGCGAAAGCCUGACGGAGCAACGCCGCGUGAGUGAUGAAGGUCUUCGGAUCGUAAAACUCUGUUAUUAGGAAGAACAAAUGUGUAAGUAACUAUGCACGUCUUGACGGUACCUAAUCAGAAAGCCACGGCUAACUACGUG
rnacentral:rRNA from 1 species